CCUACGGGUGGCUGCAGUGGGGAAUAUUGCACAAUGGGCGCAAGCCUGAUGCAGCCAUGCCGCGUGUGUGAAGAAGGCCUUCGGGUUGUAAAGCACUUUCAGCGGGGAGGAAGGCGGUGAGGUUAAUAACCUCAUCGAUUGACGUUACCCGCAGAAGAAGCACCGGCUAACUCCGUGCCAGCAGCCGCGAUAAUACGGAGGGUGCAAGCGUUAAUCGGAAUUACUGGGCGUAAAGCGCACGCAGGCGGGUCUGUCAAGUCGGAUGUGAAAUCCCCGGGCUCAACCUGGGAACUGCAUUCGAAACUUGCAGGGUAGGGUCCUGUAGGGGGGGGUAGAAUUCCAGGUGGAGCGGUGAAAUGCGUAGAGAUCUGGAGGAAUACCGGUGGCGAAGGCGGCCCCCUGGACAAAGACUGACGCUCAGGUGCGAAAGCGUGGGGAGCAAACAGGAUUAGAUACCCGAGUAGUC
rnacentral:rRNA from 1 species